GUUCUGACCGUAAACUAUGCCAUCUAGCGAUCCGAUGGGGUAUUGUUGCCUUGUCGAGGAGCUUCCCGGAAACGAAAGUCUUUCGGUUCCUGGGGUAGUAUGGUUGCAAAGCUGAAACUUAAAGAAAUUGACGGAAUGGCACCACCAGGAGUGGAGCCUGCGGCUUAAUUUGACUCAACACGGGAAAACUCACCCGGCCCGGACACCGUAAGGAUUGACAGAUUGAAAGCUCUUUCUCGAUUUGGUGGUUGGUGGUGCAUGGCCGUUCUUAGUUGGUGGAGCGAUUUGUCUGGUUUAUUCCGAUAACGAGCGAGACUCUAGCCUGCUAAAUAGUGACUAGAUUUUUAUGUCUAGUCUACUUCUUAGAGGGAUAAGCGGUGUUUAGCCGCACGAGAUUGAGCGAUAACAGGUCUGUGAUGCCCUUAGAUGUCCGGGGCUGCACGCGCGCUACAAUGGAAGAAUCAGCUGGCCUAUCCAUUGCCGAAAGGUAUUGGUAAACCGUUGAAACUCUUCCGUGACCGGGAUAGGGAAUUGUAACUAUUUCCCUUGAACGAGGAAUUCCUAGUAAGUGUGAGUCAUCAGCUCACGCUGAU
rnacentral:rRNA from 1 species